rnacentral:rRNA from 1 species
AUGGAGUUUGAGUCAUCAGAUGAAGACUACUCCUAUGAUGAGGAUGAGGAUGGCAACAUGGUUAGGAGGAAGAGCCAGUUUGUGAGGUUUAACCCAGACUCUGACAUUCCUCAUUUUAGUCUUGGAAUGGUUUUUAAAAGCAAGAAACAAUUGACUAGAGCUAUGAAGAGAUAUGGGCUUGCUACCAAAAGAAGCAUUUCAUUUUUAAAGUCAGAGGAGGCCAGAGUUAGAGCAAAAUGUGAUUGGCCUGGGUGUCCCUGGAUGUUGUAUGCAGCUAAGACCAGCAGGUGUUCUAGGUUUCAAAUCAUCACAUUUGAAGAUGAACACCAAUGUGCACAAAACAGAGACAACAAACUGGUUACUACUAAGGUCAUUGCCAAAAGGUAUGAGCACUUCAUCCUGGCAAAUCCUUUG